GCAGUACCUGCGGGUUGUAUCAGUACCUGAGAGAGACUGCAACUUGAGGGUGUCCAGUCCUCCGGCUGUCAACAGGAGUCUGUGGCAGAGGCAGGAGUUGAACCCAGGUCGCUAGCUCAGUGCCUUAGCCCCAAGACCGCCCAUUACGUGAGUGGAGAAGCAAGACGUGCGGCACCCCAGGCAUCCUCUAGAGAGCCGUCCUCGUCGCAGGCGCCGGAAGGUGGCAGCAGCCUGGCACCAACAACACGAGCUGGAAGAAGGAGGCACAGCCGAACUGGGCCCAGGACGAGAACGUCUGGAGGUAUCUCCAGAUCUUUGUCAUCACUUCGGAUUUCCAGUCACCCAGUUCUUAGAUCCUUGCUGUCCUCUGAAAUCUGCUGCCACUCCGACCCUCUCCCAUCCUUCCGUAUAGCCCAGCAGAACUUCCCCUGGGAGCAGGUGGCUCUGUGCUGUUGGAUGCACGUGGGCCGUUGCUUCCCAUCACACCUUUUAUUCUCACCUGAGGGUUUCCACCUUUUGAUGGCGUUCGCAGACGGGACAGAACUUUAACUCUACCAGGAAUGAAACCCGCUCCUUCGGUGCACAGGGGCUGAUGGGCUGUCAAUAUUGUAACCGUAGGGUUCCCGCCAACCCUGGGCUUGUGAUCACCCCCAGGACUGCUUGUGUUCAUUUCUUUCCCCCAUUUAAAACCAUUUUCGUGUAACCAGAGACCAAGGCGACAGCCCUGUUUGGCGAACUAACUUCUUCGGCGUGCUGCU